UCACCUCUCAACUACGCUUUUUGUGGUUCAUACGCAUUAACGAAGGGAGAAGGGAGAAGGGAGAAGGGAGAAGGGAGAAGGGAGAAGGCGGAGCGAUGAUGCCGCUGGUCUCCUGCACCGACGUCUCGUCGCCCCUGCUCCUCUCCGUCCCCUUCUGCUCAUCUCCGAUCCGUCUCCGCCACCGCCUCAUCUGUCCAUACUCUAUACCUAGAGCUACCAUUUCGGCUAAGCUGGAACACCUGCGGCCCCUCAUCUUCGUCUCUGUCCCGCAGAUUCCGCAGUGCAGAGCCACCCGUGUCCCUGGCGGAGGCGCCGCCACGCCUGCUGCCUCCCGCCUCUGCGAGAAAGAACCCCUAGUCCUCGAUGUGGAUUCUCUUUCCGUGAAGGAGUGCGAGUCGGAUGAAGAGCUCCUGGCCACUGUUCGCUUGAGGAUCCGCACCUUCUACGAUGAGUUUUACAAGUCAUCCGGCGGCGAGUUCUAUUAGGAUCAGGGUAGACAUCUGGAAGAAAGGGAGCUCCAAGCAUUGAAAGACCGCAUUGAUGGUAAAAGAAUAGGGUUCAAAAGAGCUGCUUGCAUAAAUGCCACUCUCCCAUUAUCGCCGUCCUUAAGACAUGCUGAUGAACUUUGUUCUGCUUGUAAGUUUUCUCAAAAUGGAGAAGAAAGAAUAGUUGUGGCAACUCUAGAUGUUAACCAAUGUAUCAAAUUGGCUGAUGAAUUGACAGGAAAGCGUCCUGAGGUCCCAGGAGCUAGUCUGAUGAGGGCAUAUCUAAGUAAUGUGUGUGUUGCCAGUGAGCUGCAAAGAAAUGGAUUGGGAUAUGCAAUAGUUACCAAAUCUAAAAUAGUUGCCUACUCUUGGGGCAUAAAUGAUCUUUAUGUUCAUGUUGCCGUUGACAAUGAAGCAGCAAAGAAUUUGUACAGAAAGACUGGUUUUGUUUAUGAAAACGAAGAGCCUACAUGGCAAGCUAGAUUUCUUGGCCGGCCCCGACGGCUGCUACUGUGGGCUGAUCUUAGCCGAAUUAACUUGUAACACAUUUUGGGUCUUAAUACUUUUGACAUAUGUUUCAAAUCCUAUAGGUCUUCAAUCAAGCCCUGAGCCGUAUACCUUUUUUUUGUGCCCAACAAUGUUUAGCUUGCUGUUGUAAUCAUCAUUUUUACAUCAUUUAUGUAAAUUAUACAGUUAAAAACAAACUGAAGUUACUGCAUUUAUAAUUAUU